rnacentral:rRNA from 1 species
GACGAACGCUGGCGGCGUGCUUAACACAUGCAAGUCGAACGAAGAGCGAUGGACGCUUGCUUCUAUCACUCUUAGUGGCGAACGGGUGAGUAACGCGUAAUCAACCUGCCCUUCAGAGGGGGACAACAGUUGGAAACGACUGCUAAUACCGCAUACGAUCUAAUCUCGGCAUCGAGGAUAGAUGAAAGGUGGCCUCUACAUGUAAGCUAUCACUGAAGGAGGGGAUUGCGUCUGAUUAGCUAGUUGGAGGGGUAACGGCCCACCAAGGCGAUGAUCAGUAGCCGGUCUGAGAGGAUGAACGGCCACAUUGGGACUGAGACACGGCCCAGACUCCUACGGGAGGCAGCAGUGGGGAAUCUUCCGCAAUGGACGAAAGUCUGACGGAGCAACGCCGCGUGAGGGAUGACGGCCGUCGGGUUGUAAAGCUCUGUUAAUCGGGACGAAAGGCCUUCUUGCGAAUAGUGAGAAGGAUUGACGGUACCGGAAGAGAAAGCCACGGCUAACUACGUG